UGUGUUCAGUGACAUUCCCUCUGUCUUCAGAGACCAUGCAUCAUUGCCUGUCCUCCUUAGAUCACUGUGACAGGUGGGGUGUGAGUUCAGACACACUGCCAAGGCAAUAUCUCUGUGUGGUACUCAGGGGAACCCAGGAGAACACCCAGGAAGUCACGGUCGUUGACUUGCAGGACAUUAAUAGUAGUCACAGAUAGACUGACACUGUGGCCAGUGAGACUGCGAGGGGACUGUUUUAGUAAGCUACCCAUCUGUGUUCCUGUGGCUGAAGACAAGGCAAUGACAGAGUAUUAUGUCAUACUCCCGAGGAGGAUGAGCUGGCCAAUCAGCAGUCUAGAGGAGGAUGAGCUGGCCAAUAAGCGGUCUACUCGCCAAGAUGAUCAUCAAGGACCUCAGCCACCCGAG